rnacentral:rRNA from 1 species
AGAGUUUGAUCCUGGCUCAGAUUGAACGCUGGCGGCAGGCCUAACACAUGCAAGUCGAACGGUAACAGCAGAGCUUGCUCUGGCUGACGAGUGGCGGACGGGUGAGUAACGCGUAGGAAUCUACCCAGUAGUGGGGGACAACUUGGGGAAACUCAAGCUAAUACCGCAUACGCCCUACGGGGGAAAGCGGGGGACCUUCGGGCCUCGUGCUAUUGGAUGAGCCUGCGUUAGAUUAGCUAGUUGGUAGGGUAAAGGCCUACCAAGGCGACGAUCUAUAGCUGGUCUGAGAGGAUGAUCAGCCACACUGGAACUGAGACACGGUCCAGACUCCUACGGGAGGCAGCAGUGGGGAAUAUUGCACAAUGGGCGCAAGCCUGAUGCAGCCAUGCCGCGUGUGUGAAGAAGGCUCUAGGGUUGUAAAGCACUUUAAGCAGGGAGGAAGUCCAGUUAGUUAAUAUCUGANGGAUUGACCUACCUGCAGA